AAGUCGUAACAAGGUUUCCGUAGGUAGGUGAACCUGCAGAAGGAUCAUUAACACGUAUCCAACGUUAAAACAACCCCGUGAACUUUCAGCUUGCUCCUGUAGCCCGUGAAAGCAGCAAUCCCUGGUAAAUCAUUGUUGACCAGCUUUUGAGUCAGGGACCUCUACGGUUGAGCGAUUGCACCUAGUGACCUGGCAUCCCAAGUGAUGGCGCAGUCACGAUCGCUGUAGGCCCACACGGCCGGUCACCGGGCUCUGCUCCUUUACGAUAACUUCGCCGCGCGUGAAAUUCGCACGCAAUGGAUAUCUUGGUUCUC
rnacentral:misc_RNA from 1 species